GACAGAGGGGGCAAGCGUUGCUCGGAAUUACUGGGCGUAAAGGGCGCGUAGGCGGGAUGGCAAGUCGGAUGUGAAAUCCCUCGGCUCAACCGAGGACGUGCAUUCGAAACUGGCAGCUCGAGUAUGGAAGAGGGUCGCGGAAUUCCCGGUGUAGAGGUGAAAUUCGUAGAUAUCGGGAGGAACACCAGUGGCGAAGGCGGCGCCUGGGGCCAAUACUGACGCUGAGGUGCGAAAGCGUGGGGGAGCAAACAGG
rnacentral:rRNA from 1 species